AGUAGACAUCUUAAAUGAUCCCACAAGAGCACAGCCACUCUGUCUUGGUGGGGUUUGCUGGCAUUUUGCUCCCUUAGUCUCCUUAACUAGCCUUUUCCAUGCACCUUCUGCAAUUCUUUUGUGAACAUUUUGUGCAUCAUUACCCACAGCUCUCCCCCAAGACUCCUGAUGAUCUGUGAAUUAUUAGGUUUUGCUGUUUGAAAGUUAAACUGAUUUUCCUAUCAAUAUAUUUGUAUUUGCAAUUUUCCAAAUCUUAAAUCCCAACAUUGUCCCAAGGCUAUAGGAGACACCAGGUGUACAAAUGAGCCAGAAAUAUCCUGAAUUAGACACCUCCCUGCACCUCUCUGUGUUCUCCCUUGCUCUGAGCCUCUCCGUACCUGCGGACCUCUAGAUUCUGUUCUAGAAGCAGUGGCUCAUGGAGAACCCACUUUGCUGGCUUUUCUCUUAAUCCGAUACUAUCUGGAAGUCUACUUGGGGUUUUCCACCUGCAGGGAUGUUUAGAAUUUGGACACCAGUGAUAUUGAUAUUAGAGUAAAUUGGUAACAGCUAGAAGUUGAAAGAAAACAUCUAUUAUUUCUACAGGAGCAGAGUAGCAUGAAAUGCCUAAAUGGUGCCUUGCCACCACUAUCACUCACCUGAGAUAGGUCCAAGAACAAGCUGAAGAACUUUUGUCCUGGAGAACUUCAUUAUACCCAAAUUGACAACAGGUAAACAGCUGCCAAGGAAUGAUCAGAGAAGGAGAAUACAGAGAAGGCCCCUUUAAUUCUCUCCAUCUGCUCCGUGGUGCAAGUGGGAAGGAGAACACAAAGAUCUGGAGUCCAGCAGCAGGUCUGACUUUGAGCUUCUGCUACUGCCUGCCACUUCUCCCAAACUGUGAGUAUCAGCUAUGUAUUUUUUCAUCUUUCAGAAGAAGUUUAUAAUUAGGCUGGAAUUCUUCAGGCAGAGGCAAAGGCCAUGCUGGUUUGGGUUAGAUUGUUUUGUUAAAUUUUGAAGAAAACUGUUCUUCAUUAAGGAAUACGUGCUGGUUUCCAGAGGAUGGCUGAGACCUUCCCUUCUCUAGUAUUCGGUCUUGUGCAGUUCUAAACUUGAGUUUCUUUUCUAUUUAAAUAUUUAAAGCCUGUCUUUGCUUCUGUUUUCACAAAACCUGAACUGGGCUGGAGGGGUGCCACAGACUGGAAGCAGAAGCUGGGCCAGUGCAGUUUGAUGUGGCCAUGGCUGUACAAGCACUGACCAUGUGUGUGGCAGGGCCUGAGCAGCCCAGGAGGGGUUGUCAGAAAUGUUAGGAAGAGAAAGUUCAUUUUCUGAGAAGUUUUGAGUGGUUGGUUGUCUCUGCACAGGGCAGAGCAAGAAUCUCAGUGGGUGAAUGGGGUGAGCUGGGCUCUGCUGCCGUGUGUGUGGGGAGUUGGCUGCCCUUUCUCUGUUGUGCCAUUGUCUGUUUGGCCUGGGCCUGAGCUGUGUUUGAACAGCAGCACUCUGGUAUCUGUGGCCAAAAAGUUACCCUUUCGGCUGUGUGUUGUACUUUUAUUUUGUAAAAUGUCUUUCAACUUCAGCGGUGUUGCUGCCCCCGGCUCUGCAGAGCCCAGUGAGCCGUGCGUGUAGCCCAGCUGCUGGUGGGCGAGCCCAGGGCGGUGGUUUUUCACCC
rnacentral:lncRNA from 1 species